GUCCAGCUGAGAGCUUGCCCGAGCACGUGACCUGGGGGGUUCGGAGCCCAGCGGGGAAGUGGACCUCCGUUCCAGGACGCCUGGGUCUCAUGGAUAGGGAGGGAGUCGCCAUCAGAGAGGACAGCGGAAGGCCUUGGACUCGCUUUCUGUGCUCUGAUUUAGAAAGAGUCUCAUCAAGCCUCUAGAUCUAAUUUACCAACUCAUAAAAAAAUACAGGUGAUGCUUAAGAGAUUCUCUCUACACUCAUGGGAACAGGAAAGGGAGAGGACAUAAGAGCUGGAGGUCAGGAAGGAGUGUUGUGAAACAGUCUUCCAGACAUACCACAGCCUCUGCACUUGCAGCCAUAAUUGCCCGAAGGAGAUCAGCCUGGUCAAUCAACAUUCCAGACCGCAGCACUAAUUGUACUCGAAAUGUGAUCUGCUUCUGGAAGAAUGGACAUCUAGACCGAAAAUCUAGCAAAAGGAGAGGUUCCAAGGGCGUAGGGAGACUAUGGAGGGACGGGAGAUGAGUGGGAUUGGAGUGAAUGAUGUGAAAUCUACAAAGAAUCAAUAAAGGGUUCUUUUGUUGU
rnacentral:lncRNA from 1 species